GCAAAAAAAAACCCAAAAAAAGUGAAGUUGACUAAAAGAUCUCAGAAAGCAACAUCGUGGACAUCUAAAGAAACAGCUAAGAAACACUGAACUCUAUCAGUCUGGAAAGGGUUACAAAGGCAUUUCAAGCGCUUUGGGAAUCGAACCACGAUGAGGGCCUUAAUCCAGAAAAUGUGGAAAACCUGAAGGCCUCACUUGGAGGUUUCUUUUCCUACUGCUGCCAGCCUUUAAAGUGGACGUCGGCGUGGACAACGGCCAUAUGCAUGCUACGCCAGUCGGCUGGCAUGCAUAUUGAUUGGAAGAUUAACUUGUAGUCGGGCAGACGGCAAGUUGCUGCAAUACGGCGAUUCCGUCUGCCCCCAUACUUUAAAGUUUUAUUUAGGCUGUAUGUUUGUCCUUUUUUCCGUCGUUUGAUUUGUAGUUUGGGUUUUUGUUACGCCACUGGUGGAAGGCCCUUUUUCUAGCUGCUGAUCACCAGUGUGUUCCUGGAGUUGGGCUAUCCCCAGCGUGUGAAUAUUAGUUUUUGUUGUAAUAUAUUAAAAUUUUCUUUUAUUCAGACGCGGAGUGCCGACGUGGAGGAGACUAGGGUGCCUUGGUGGUGGGAUCCUUUGAGUGUACACACCUGCCUUUCUUAGUUUAUUAGUGUAAGUGUGUGAUAGUGUGCUGCACUUGUGUCUUGGUGUUUUUCUUUUCUCUUUUUUUUUUUUUUAGUUUGUGCGUGGCAUCCCUGCCCCUCCAUUGGUAAGCCUCGGCUCUGAAUACCUUUUUAAGCAUAUUUGUACAUUGAUAUUUAUGAUUGUGCUUUUAUAUGCUGUUUUAAAUAAUUAAUAAAUUGUCAACUUGUUUUAUCAUUGAACCUCAUCUCUGUACUGGGGUGGCGUUGUCUUUUAAACUGAAGAGUAUGUACAGUGGGGCAAAAAAGUAUUUAGUCAGCCACCGAUUGUGCAAGUUCCCCCACUUAAAAUGAUGACAGAGGUCAGUAAUUUGCACCAGAGGUACACUUCAACUGUGAGAGACAGAAUGUGAAAAAAAAAUCCAUGAAUUCACAUGGUAGGAUUUGUAAAGAAUUUAUUCAUAAAUUAGGGUGGAAAAUAAGUAUUUGGUCACCUCAAACAAGGAAAAUCUCUGGCUCUCACAGACCUGUAACGUCUUCUGUAAGAAGCUUUUCUGUCCCCCACUCGUUACCUGUAUGAAUGGCAC
ensembl:lncRNA